CUAUGAAUAUAUAUAACAUCCUGAACAAUCUAUAUGACUACCUGUGGACAUAUAUGAUAUCUUGAACAAUAUAUAUAACUUCCUAAUAUCUUAUAUAACUCCUUGUCAAUAUAUAUAGCAUCAUAAAUAAUGUAUAUAACUUUCUAUGAAUAUAUAUAUAACAUUCCGAACAAUAUAUAUGACUUCCUAAUGCUUUAUAUAGCUUCCUAUUGGCCAUAUAAGGCAUCAAGAAGUC
rnacentral:lncRNA from 1 species